AAUCAGGUGAAAACGAGGCUGAUCACUUUUUUCAGUAGCUUGGUAGCAUUUUUUAACCAACUCAUUUUGGCGAGCAGCUAUCAAAAAAUCGUCCCGACGAUCGAGCGACUAGCCUAGACAAUACAUACAGUACACUAGUGUGAAGUCGGACAAUGCGAUAGGCCGAAACAUGACACUCUCCUCACAUAGGCAUUUGCCAGUCGCCAUGAUGAGACAAACAUACCACAACAUUUGCCAUGAGUACAACUACCCAACAUUGGCAUCUACGACAGAAGGUGGUACAAAGCAUACAAGCACCCAGCAAGACCGUCGUUAGCAAGAAACACUGGUUGUUUGCUGAAACUUGUAAUGAAAGCUACACACAAUUUAAGGAGCAAAUGACUGGCUCAAAUGGAUGUGAUGCAAACAAUUCCAUCUGUGUGGACAUAAAAUAAAAAAUAAAUAAAAUGGACAUGUCCAAUCCAUGGUUAGCAGAAGGUGGCGAUACUCGGAGCUCUGCAGCAAGCGAUUGAGGCCAAAAUAUUUCAAAAGAAUUAAAUUAAAAUGAUUUAUCUAGUGAUUUUUUUUUCUGAAGAUAUACUGAAAUGCCACACACUUAAGUUUUUGUUUUUUACGCAUCUGGUUUAUAUUGC
rnacentral:lncRNA from 1 species